GAUGAACGCUGGCGGCGUGCCUAAUACAUGCAAGUCGAGCGAACAGAUGAGGAGCUUGCUCCUCUGACGUUAGCGGCGGACGGGUGAGUAACACGUGGAUAACCUACCUAUAAGACUGGGAUAACUUCGGGAAACCGGAGCUAAUACCGGAUAAUAUAUUGAACCGCAUGGUUCAAUAGUGAAAGACGGUUUUGCUGUCACUUAUAGAUGGAUCCGCGCCGCAUUAGCUAGUUGGUAAGGUAACGGCUUACCAAGGCAACGAUGCGUAGCCGACCUGAGAGGGUGAUCGGCCACACUGGAACUGAGACACGGUCCAGACUCCUACGGGAAGCAGCAGUAGGGAAUCUUCCGCAAUGGGCGAAAGCCUGACGGAGCAACGCCGCGUGAGUGAUGAAGGUCUUCGGAUCGUAAAACUCUGUUAUUAGGGAAGAACAAAUGUGUAAGUAACUAUACACGUCUUGACGGUACCUAAUCAGAAAGCCACGGCUAACUACGUG
rnacentral:rRNA from 1 species